ACGCAAACAUGGAAAGAACUUGUUAACGGCCACCGCGGAGGCGAAGGACAAGGUGAAGGGUAGAUUCUUUCUGGAUGUUAUAAUCAGCAAGCGUACGACCAUCCUCCAGCUGCUUACCAGCAAAAAUCAACCUCUGCUGGUCUGGUGGAAUACCUUCCUUGUCCUGAAUCUUUGCUUUCACGUUAUCAAUGGUAUCCGAGCUCUCCACCUCCAAAGUGAUCGUCUUCCCGGUUAGAGUCUUGACGAAUAUCUGCAUACCUCCCCUCAAUCGCAGCACCAAGUGUAGCGUGGACUCCUUCUGGAUAUUGUAAUCAGCAAGGGUCCUCCCAUCCUCGAGCUGCUUACCAGCAAAGAUCAAUCGCUGCUGAUCUGGUGGAAUCCCCUCCUUAUCUUGGAUCUUCGCCUUCACGUUAUCAAUUGUAUCAGAACUCUCGACUUCCAAGGUGAUGGUUUUCCCAGUCAAUGUCUUGACAAAGAUCUGCAUACCACCUCUAAGCCGAAGAACGAGGUGGAGGGUGGACUCCUUCUGGAUGUUGUAGUCAGCAAGAGUUCGACCAUCCUCUAGCUGCUUUCCAGCAAAGAUCAACCUCUGCUGGUCAGGAGGGAUACCUUCCUUAUCCUGAAUCUUAGCCUUGACAUUAUCGAUAGUGUCCGAACUCUCAACCUCAAGUGUAAUGGUCUUACCAGUGAGGGUCUUCAC
rnacentral:lncRNA from 1 species